GUGGGCGAGGCCGCGCUGCUGGAGCGGUGCUCCCUGGAGGAUGCUCUGCGGGGCGCAGGGAAGGUGUGGAGGGGCCUGGUCUCCGCGCUGCAGGAUACCUGAGGUGGGGUUUUCAUCCCACACCUGGACGGAGCGCCAGCGCCGUGAGCUCCUGAAGGCUCGCCUCAGGGUGGGGGGCCUGGCCAUUGUGGCGAAUUGUUCUUUACGCGUGGGACACGAGGGUCGGACGUUUAACAACUGCGCUGUCGCCCUAACCAUAUUCCGAGCCCCGGGCUGGUCUCUUUCUUAUGUUUUUAAACGCAAGAGACGCACCGCAGUCCGCGGCCCUACAGGGUUGACAUUUGGGUGCAUCAGGCGGAGGAGCCAUUGGGCCUCCUGAAUCAAUAUGAAGACAGCGGGGAUGCUGGUGGCCGUGGGCGCGGGCGCGGGCGCGGGCGGCCUUGGCUGAGCACCUUCCCCCUUCGGGUCCUCCUGGUGCGCUGGGGCAUCGCCUUGUAACGCCCUGUGCAUCGGGGCCCUCGGCCUUCCCAGCAGGUCAUCUCCGCAUUCCGAGGUCACACCUGCAGCCUGUCGCUGCCGGGAAGCCACAGUCAUGGGGCCCAGGCCUGCCGGUGCCUCCUUUCUGCUGAGGCUGGAUCUGGAAGUGGCCAGGGUGCAUCGCAGACAGACACCUUCUAAGGCGCCACCGAUUUCCUCCCCCUGCCUGGCCUUUCUCAGUAUGAAAACAAUCUGUUAUUUCUCUCCUGGAUUCAAAAAGCCAGUGAGCCCACGGAAGACCUCCCCGCGCCCGCAUCUCCCUCCUGCUUGCAGCGCGUUCCCUGGCUCCUUUGCCACCAGCGUGUCGGCCUUGCUGGCAUUGUCCCGUGUCUCUGCAGCGCUCCAUCACGUCUGCCCGCCUCAGGGGCACCAGGGGAGUCAUGUUGCCUGGUCCAUCAGAAACACGUGCCCCAGCAUCUGGCUUUACAUCAGCAUGAGCAUCAGAGCCAGCAACGGAGCCUCUGCCCAAGGACCCCUCGCAACGCGAGUCUCCAGGUGCAGCAAUCUAGGGUUGUACCUACGCCUUCAAUAGCAAGAAUCUCCACGGCUCUUGUAUACUACUUGGGUGUGUGCACCGUGAACACCACCGCUUCCCACGCAUGACUCUACAGUGGGUGACGGUGACUGUGAGUAGCAACCUAAGCCUACGGAGCUACCCAGGGAGACGGCUACAGCACCCGACCCGCCAGCAGAACUCACGGCGUGGUCUUUUCCUGGGCCGGGAGGUUAGACCGUGCGGUUCUUGGGCUUGGCCCCAAGAGGGCACUAACUACACGUGAUUGCUCCCAGAACAGCGUGGCCAAGGCCUCUCGGAUUCUGAGCCAGGAACUGAAUCUGGGCAGACGUAGGCUGACAACCUAGAGAGAGGUCUUUCGGUUUUUCUCUCAAAUCUAGAAUCCAUCCUUCUCCCUGUCUGGGAGAGCCCCCAGUUUCCCUCCGGCAACCUUUUUACCAUUUUGCUAUGGUGACAAGAGUCCUAGGAUCUUAUUAUCCCAACUAGGUAAGCGUGAUCCAGUCUGGGACCACGGAGGACGCAGGACUGGCUGUAGCUGUGUGGCGCAUUCAGGAAGCCGGCUGCAGUUCUAUUCUGUGACCCCACCACGGCUUCCUAGGUCACCCUUAGGCCUCCUCUGGAGGGGAACGUUUACCUGUGCUGCCCUGAACUACUCUGGCAGGAAACCGGGUUUUGUUCUGUUGCCCGUCGCCCUCCAUCCUUUGUGGAAUGUUCUCUCUGCCCGACCGCUGCCCGUCCACACUCCCCACGACCUCACCCCAGGGAAGGUAGAGGAGACCUGGGCAGACCGUGAAUGGGCACAGAGCCGAUGAUCCGUGCUCGGGCCUGACUAGCACAGGAAGAGAGACAAAGAAGAGGAGGACCCUGAAAGCCGAGAGGAGACGUGAUCAGGGCCUGAGAGAGCUCCGCACGAUUAAAGCAGAAGGUUGAAAAUGAAACUGGGAUGAUACGUAGAAAUGUGCACCUGCUUGUUAAGGAAAGUGAGAUCCUCGGGACCGCCGAUGCCUCCUUGGUACCGCUGGGUGUGGGGUACGGUGGCGGCCGUGCUGGGGGUCAUGGUGCGGUGACUCCCCCUGUCUCUGGAGCCCGUGUCUCUCCCGUGCCACCAGCGUGGAAGGGACACGUGAUCCACACGCCUCCUGACACACCUGCUUCGUGGGACUAACUUACCUGUGGCACUAGUCCCCCUCCUGCCCAGGGCAGGGAUCUCUCAUGCUCCCCCGGCACAGAGCCUACCACUUUCUACUCUCUGAGACGGAGUGACAGAGAACCCUGUGCCCCAUAAGACAGCUCACUCUACACUCAGACAGCCCUACUAAUUAAAUCAUCCCUCUUUCAGUAAAUUCACAGAUUGUCUUGUUCCUUUUAGCCCCAAACCACUCAUUUCUAUCAGAAACAACAUCCAAUAACUCUUCGCCUUCUGCUGCCUGAGAGUAUCUCAAAUAACUGACCGUGACCAUCUUGGUAUUUUGAAAAUCACGACUGGAAUUUGGCUUUUCGUGAUGAGAUCUAACUUGGCCAUCGACCUGGGGCACCGUAGCCAGAUUAUACAGCUGCGUUACAUGGUCUUGGUGAGGAGCCAGCAUGUCAUCCACCCUUCCAUCUAUGAGUCCUUUCAGUAAAUACGCAUUGAGCUCCUACGAGGCAACAGGAAGGUUCUGGUGAUAAAACAGGGAGUGGAAAACAAAUCCAAGUUUUGGAGAGUGUACGCUCUAAUGAGUGAGGUCUAAUUAUUUUUCUGAUGAAUGAAAAUUAAUGAAUUGAUAAGGUGACAUAUGGCUUAUAAAUGAAGAAGAUGGUCCUUCAAGACCAGAUGUCAAGGGAACCUAACAAAAGCCAGGAGUGAGGGGUCGUGGUAUCAGAUGAGGCCUCUCAUGGCAGGUGACCAUUGGGUUCAACUCUGAGAAAUGAAUAGGAGUGGAUGGUGCUUCCGUCGGAGGGAACACCAUGUGACAAAGCCUUGUUGCAGAAGUCGUUGGCUUAUUUAAGGACUAGAGAGAAAACCAGUGUGAGUGGAAUGCAGACAAUCAGCAGAGGGUGGUUGAGAUGCCCUUUGAGAGACACACAUGGUGCGGCUGGGUGGAGCAUUAUUAGAAUUGUCUUUGUUUUAAGAGAAUCAGAAGUGAUCAAAAGGAUUUAAGCAGGGGAAUGAAACUAGAUUUUCGUUUUGAAGUGAUGCCUCUAGAUAUUGUUGGGGGAAAAUGUGAUGGGCCAGUUUGACGCUGGAAACCACUCUAAGUCAGGAAGAGCUAGUAGUAGCUUUGAUUAGGUCAUAAAAUGGAAAUGGAGGAAAAUACACAGACUUGGUCAUAAAAUGGAAAUGGAAGGAAAUACACUGAGCUGAAAGAGAUUUGAGAAGAAGAACCAGGAUUCAUGACAGAUUGGAAGUGAAAGGCUAGUGAACAAGCACCGUCAGGGAGGAUGCUUUGGUUUCAUUCAAAUAAUUACAUUUGCCACGAUGAAUGUACGUAUGCUACAUGGGCUACAGACAGUCAGUUCUUUUCUGUAAAAGUUUUCGUAAGAGCUAAAAGGUAAAUUCACUCCAAAAAAAUAAUUACAGUAUCAAAAUAUUAUUGGCAUGGUCAUUUCCCAGAAGUGAAUGGUGCUUUAUUUGUGUCUGAUGCAGAUCAGUGUCCCAAUGCACAUUAUCAGAGAUGUUGGUGAAACCCCAAAGAUCAAGGAGCUUCAAGCUCAGCCCCUUGGAACAAUUGUGAAUGGGCUGUUUGCAGUCCUGAAGGUGAUGAAACUGCUUUCCACCUUCGUGCAGCACGAGAACCAGCAAAUAGGGUUGCACAGCUACUGAGCUAUCGCUGUUUGAGUAAAGGAAUGGAGCCAGUGACUCCACGGCACGAGAGCUGCAAUCCCGUGCAACACAGAAGCGUCUUCCUGCAAAUCCCCAAAAGGCGCCUCGUUCUGCAGCCCGCUGGCCAUGACACCCCCUCAGGGACACCAAUUCUGAAUACAUACCCAUUGUUUUGAGCAAAAGCAAUCCUUCUCUUGCACACAGGCCUUGGCAACAGAAGCACAGAGGAUUUCCGUGUUGACCUGUGCCCUCAGCUGGGUUUCUCGGAGCCUAUUCUUGACUCCAGGCUCACCUUGUCAGGGUCACCCCCAAAGUCUAAGUGCAAAUAUUGCUUUGGAGCCUGUGUGCCCGACCCUGAUCUGCAGCCCACAAAUGAUUCUCUUUUAAGCAACACACCAAUGAAUUAGACUCCCGUUAUAGCACUCUUUUAGGAAAAAAUGUUUAUUAUUUUUUUCCAAAUUAUGAAAACGAUACAUGCAAAAUAUGGUAUUAGGAUGGCACAGCAAAGUAUAAAAAAGAAAAUAAAAACUACCCAUGACCACUCUAUUCCUUAGAAUUGAUAGAUGGUAUAUCUAUCGCUGAAUUUCUCUCAUGUAUAUAUAUAUAUUUUUUUUUCCCUCUGAACUUAGAUUUUAUCUCCAUAGAGAUCAUUGUUGAUGCCAUCCAUUGUUGAUGUUCUUAGAAGGACAUCAUGGUGAGGUUUCCAUAUGUGAAUCAGGAUCGAGUGGUUGUUUCUUGUUCUUCCUGGACUUGAUGACCUUGAAGAAGAGAGAGAUAAAGACAGGACAGUUGAGACGCAGCUGAUUCUACCUUUCUCUCUGCACUGACUCUAUCUCCCUGCCACUGGCUGCAUCCCCUUUGCUCUUCCUUCCUGUGAGGCUGUCACUCUCAUCCAUCUGCUUCAAUGAAUUCCCAUCCUUUGAGUCACCCCCCUUCCCACCUUGGUUGAGACCCUGAAAUGAGGUAAUCACUCGCAUACAGCAGGAGUACCUGUGGACAGGGCGGGAGAAGGAGCAGAUGUACUCAAUGGCAAGAGCUGAGGGGAAGGUUCUCACUGGGAAAACACGUUGGGAGGAGGGUCUGAGCCUGCGAGGGAAAGGCUGGAAGGUUUGAGGGCCUCAGAAGUGGAGAGACUUCAGAGUGUGGGCACUGCCAUGCGUCUGGAUGCGUCAACCUUUGUGUUGAUCUGUGUCAUUCUAGCCUUUGAUAGUCUUCCCACAAUCCUGCAUGGAUGUGUGUGACAAAGAGCAUGGACUUCGUCCUGUACGACCAGCCCCUUCCGCUGUGUAGACCAGUCUGUAUAUAACACUAAAAUAAAAACUGGUCCCUUUGUGUUUUGAGAUAUUCAGUGGCACCGUGGAUCCUUUAGGUCUGGCAUGAACUCUGUUUAACAGCCUCUGGGAUAGAUGACAUUCCCCGCCUAUUAUAGAUGAAGAACCUGAGGUUCCUGGUGUUUAAGUUCACCACCAGUUAGAAAAUCACAGAGCCAGGAUUUGAAACAAGCCUGCCUUAAUGAAGCUCAAAUUUACUAAAUAAUCUCCCUACUCUGACACAUUCAAUCAACUCUGUAAUAUUUAGCUAGAUAUUAUAUACUUUGAAGGCCUCAAUAAGAUUACACAUCCCCUUCUCUGAUAAAGGAAAGAAUGACAGGAAAGGACAGUCAGUCUAGUUUUCUUAAAGUCUUCUUUGUUGGAAGAAUGAUAUUCCCCAGAAGUUCCCACCUUCAUGAAACUGUGAAUUACAGAUCUCAGCUUCUUCACAUUGUCACUUAGUUCAAAGCAGGUAAGUCUGAGUUUAUCGCCUUCCUCACAGUCGACUUCGGUCAGGCGUCCAUACACCCAGACCUCCAUCUUCCCUGUAUUGUCUUGUAUCUCAUACGAAAUGAUCUGUUCAUUUAACACGUUUUUCUGCAAAAGAAAGUCAGAACCAUUCUCCUGAGAACUGGAUCAGGUUUCCACAUCUAUUAGAAACACAGGGUGUGAGUGUAAACUGUUGUCUCUGACAGGUUAACAUGAUCUAGAGGUCCAGAAUGAGGGGCAGCAAAUAGGUUAAAGUAUUUUGUUCAGGGGAUUCUCCUUAAUGGGUCUGGCGAUUGUCAUUAAUUCUCAUUAAGUAGAGAAUUAUUUCAGUCUAUAAUUUUCCUUUUUUUUUUCUAUUCUCUAUUCACUCUCAAUCUGCCUGAAUCCUUAAUCUAGAUUAUCCAGUCACAUUGCUCUAGGUAUCCUCUCACUCACUCUACUCACUAAUUCUGCAUAUGCACCUGUGUGCAUAGCCACUUACACAGGGGGCACAGGAAACAACAGGGGUCGAAGGAAAGAGCCACCCUAGAAGACAUGUUAAAUGGAGUAUGGAACAAAACUCGUCAUGGAAAGUAGGGUUGGCUCAGCCUAGUAUCUCCAUGAUGUGCUGGGACAGAAAUAUCUACACCAGUUCUAAGAAUUCACCAAAAUUCUACAUUUCAUUGCCCAUAUUAAUAAAUUGAGUAUUUUUAACU